rnacentral:tRNA from 1 species
UAUGUCUUAGUGUAAGGGGCACAAAAGUUUUUGAUACUUUUAGAAAUAGUUCAAAUCUAUUGGAUAUAA